rnacentral:sRNA from 1 species
UAAUUAUAAAUGAAAAAGAAGCCAUGCUGUAACAUGACUUCCCAAUAGAGCCGUUAAAGACGGUGACUAUACUAUAACGAUGAUAAC